GAGGUUAUAGCUCAGUGUUUGAGUGUGUGCUCAGCAUGCAUGAGGUCCUGGGUUCAAUCCCCAGUACCUCCA
rnacentral:tRNA from 1 species